rnacentral:rRNA from 1 species
AUUGAACGCUGGCGGAAUGCUUUACACAUGCAAGUCGAGCGGCAGCGCGGGGCAACCUGGCGGCGAGCGGCGAACGGGUGAGUAAUACAUCGGAACGUACCCAGUUGUGGGGGAUAGCCCGGCGAAAGCCGGAUUAAUACCGCAUACGACCUGAGGGUGACAGGGGGGGAUCGCAAGACCUCACGCAGUUGGAGCGGCCGAUGGCGGAUUAGCUAGUUGGUGGGGUAAAGGCCUACCAAGGGGACGAUCCGUAGCGGGUCUGAGAGGACGACCCGCCACACUGGAACUGAGACACGGUCCAGACUCCUACGGGAGGCAGCAGUGGGGAAUUUUGGACAAUGGGGGCAACCCUGAUCCAGCCAUUCCGCGUGAGUGAAGAAGGCCUUCGGGUUGUAAAGCUCUUUCGGCAGGAACGAAACGGUGGGCUCUAACAUAGCCUGCUAAUGACGGUACCUGAAGAAGAAGCACCGGCUAACUACGUGCCAGCAGCCGCUGUAAGAC